rnacentral:rRNA from 1 species
CAUUAUCGAAAUCGAAGGCCUAGGAGGGGAGACCCUCCGAAGCUUUUCAAGCAUUCUCCACACCCGUGUGCACCCGCUGUAGGUCCUUCGGGACCUACGUCUCACCUUUCGAACUCGUAUGUCCAUAGAAUGUAUCGAGUCGCUUCGGCGACGGCGAACCUUAUACAACUUUCAGCAACGGAUCUCUUGGCUCUCGCAUCGAUGAAGAACGCAGCGAAUCGCGAUAAGUAAUGUGAAUUGCAGAUUUUCCGUGAAUCAUCGAAUCUUUGAACGCACCUUGCGCUCCUUGGUAUUCCGAGGAGCAUGCCUGUUUGAGUGUCAUCGAAAUCUCGAACCGAACCCUUCGACCCGUCGGGGAGGCUCGGUUCGGACUAUGGGAGUCUGCGGGCGGAGAUGAUCCGUCGGCUCUCCUCAAAAGCAUUNGCUGUGGGUGCUGGCCUCGCAUGGCACGGCCUCUUCGACGUCAUAAUGAUCGUCGUGGGCUGGAAGUGCGCGGAUCGGCGUGUCCCAUGCUUCCCAACUUCUGCAUGCAUCGUGGCUUGACCUCAAAUCAGGCAGGACUACCCGCUGAACUUAAGCAUAUCAAUAAGCGGAGGAAAAGAAACUAACAAGGAUUCCCCUAGUAACUGCGAGUGAAGCGGGAAAAGCUCAAAUUUUGAAUCUGGCGGUCGGCGGCCGUCCGAGUUGUAAUCUAGAGAAGCGUCUUCCGCGCUGGACCGUGUACAAGUCUCCUGGAAGGGAGCAUCGUAHAGGGUGACAAUCCCGUCUCUGACACGGACCACCAGGGCUAUGUGAUGCGCUCUCGACGAGUCGAGUUGUUUGGGAAUGCAGCUCAAAUCGGGUGGUAAACUCCAUCUAAAGCUAAAUACAGGCGAGAGACCGAUAGCGAACAAGUACCGUGAGGGAAAGAUGAAAAGAACUUUGGAAAGAGAGUUAAACAGUACGUGAAAUUGCUGGAAGGGAAACGCUUGAAGUCAGUCGCGUCGUCCGGGGAUCAACCUUGCUUCUUGCUGGGCGUAUUUCCUGGUCGACGGGUCAGCAUCGAUUUCGGCCAUCGUAGAAGGACGGGAGCGAAUGUGGCACUCUCCGGAGUGUGUUAUAGCCUCUCGUAUGGAUGCGAUGGCCGGGAUCGAGGAACUCGGCACGACCCCUCGAGGGUUCGGGGCUUC